AAUUUUUUAAAUUUUUUUAAAAAUUAUUUUUCUUAUAUUAUAUUUAUUAAUUUUAAUUUUCCUGUAUGGGGUUAAGUUUAUUUAUUAUUUACCUUUUGUAUAAGGGUUUAUGGAUUUUUUAUUUCUUAAUAUUUUUAGAAUGAGGGGGAUCUUUGGGAUUAUUUUAAUAGUUGAAUUUAAUAAAUUUUUCUAAAGGAAUAAAAUGUUUUCGUUCUCUUAGGUAUCUAAAAAUUUUUAAAUUGGGGGGAGGGUAAGCUUCUUUUUUUUUUAGGUUAUCUUUUGUUUUUGUUGUUUUGAUAGUAAAUUUUUGUGUAAUAACUUUUGUUUUUGUUUUCUAAAUAUUUUUUUUUAUUUUUUUAAAUGUUUAUUAAUCAUAGAAUUAGUAGAUUUUCAUUUUUUCUUUGUUUUUUUUCUUUGUUUUUUAUUUUUAGAUUAUUUCCUUUUACUCUUUACCUUUUAAUCUGUUUAUUAAAUUCUUAGUUGGUAAUUUCACCAAUCUCUCCUGCUCUAUGCUAAUUUUUGUUAAUGGCUGUGAUUUUCACACUAAGGUAGCGAAGUCGUUAGUUACUUUAUUGGUAACUUGUAUGAAUGGAGGAUUUAAGAGGUUAUUAUGUUUUUUUCUGAAUUUAUAUUUUCUUUGAAAAUAAAGAUUUUUUUACCAAGACAAAAAGACCCUAGAAUUUUUAUAAAAUGGUUUUUAUUUAAUUGGGGCAAUGAUUUAGUUUAAUGUUUUUAUUUAUAAAUUUUUUUGAACUUUUAUUAAAGAUAGUUAGAUAAAAUACUCUAGGGAUAACAGCUUUAUAACUCUUUAUAGUUCUUAUUAGUAGAGUUGUUUGGGACCUCGAUGUUGGAUUAGAAUUUCUUUUUGGCGUAGUGGCUUUAUUAGACUGACUGUUCGUCAGUUAAAUUUCUACAUGAUCUGAGUUAAAGUCGGCGUGAGCCAGACUGGAUUUUAUCUGGUAAUUUAUUUUUUUUUAUUUUUCAGUACGAAAGGACCUUAAAUUGGGUAUAUUACUUUU
rnacentral:rRNA from 1 species